GAUGAACGCUAGCUACAGGCUUAACACAUGCAAGUCGAGGGGCAGCAUGACGAUAGCUUGCUAUUGUUGAUGGCGACCGGCGCACGGGUGAGUAACGCGUAUCCAACCUGCCCUUGUCCAUCGGAUAACCCGUCGAAAGGCGGCCUAACACGAUAUACAGUUCUCCGCAGGCAUCUAACGAGAACGAAAUGUAAAGGAGAAGGAUGGGGAUGCGUCUGAUUAGCUUGUUGGCGGGGUAACGGCCCACCAAGGCGACGAACAGUAGGGGUUCUGAGAGGAAGGUCCCCCACACUGGAACUGAGGCACGGUCCAAACUCCUACGGGAGGCAGCAGUGAGGAAUAUUGGUCAAUGGGCGAGAGCCUGAACCAGCCAAGUAGCGUGCAGGAUGACGGCCCUAUGGGUUGUAAACUGCUUUUAUGCGGGGAUAAAGUGAGCCACGUGUGGCUUAUUGCAGGUACCGCAUGAAUAAGGACCGGCCAACUACGUGCCAGCCGCCGCCGUAA
rnacentral:rRNA from 1 species